rnacentral:rRNA from 1 species
AUAGCGUAUAUUAAAGUUGUUGCGUUUAAAAAGCUCGUAGUUGGAUCUGCGGCCUAGGAUGGCGGUCCCCCAAUGGGUGGUCACUGCUUUUCCUGGCCUAAUAUCUCCGGUUUUCCCUUGCUGCUCUUUACUGAGUGGCUUGGGUGGCUGGAACGUUUACUUUGAAAAAAUUAGAGUGCUUAAAGCAGGCGCAAGCCUGGAUAGUGGUGCAUGGAAUAAUGGAAUAGGACCUCGGUUCUAUUUUGUUGGUUUUCGGAGCUUGAGGUAAUGAUUAAGAGGGACAGACGGGGGCAUUCGUAUUACGGUGUUAGAGGUGAAAUUCUUGGAUCGCCGGAAGACGAACUACUG